rnacentral:rRNA from 1 species
CAGCCGCCGCGGUAAUACGAAGGGUGCAAGCGUUACUCGGAAUUACUGGGCGUAAAGCGUGCGUAGGUGGUGGUUUAAGUCCGUUGUGAAAGCCCUGGGCUCAACCUGGGAAUUGCAGUGGAUACUGGGUCACUAGAGUGUGGUAGAGGAUAGUGGAAUUUCCGGUGUAGCAGUGAAAUGCGUAGAGAUUGGAAGGAACAUCUGUGGCGAAGGCGACUAUCUGGGCCAACACUGACACUGAGGCACGAAAGCGUGGGGAGCAAACAGGAUUAGAUACCCCCGUAGUCCCUGUCUCUUAUAC